rnacentral:lncRNA from 1 species
GCUUUGGGUGAUCUCGAUGCCGCGCGCUAGCCUGCUUACACGAUAUUUGCUUUAGUGUGCUUCCGCGACGAUAACGUGAAGACAUGUGUUCGGCGUGCACCAGAUGGAGACGUUCUGAGCCAUAAAUGUCUUGGAUUUCGACCGAUUU